UUCCUAUUUCAUACAACUCUUGAUGGCUCUUUGCCCAUCCAGUUUUGCUUUCCGGUGGCUUCUCUUCUAUCAACAAAAUGCAUGUGCAGUAAAAGUCCGGUACAGCUGCUGAUCUGCAAGGCCUGCCCCAUAGGCCAUUAUCAGACAGCAGCAGACAAGUACUCUGAGAGGUUAGAACCCGCCCACUUUCACUUCACACGCAGCAUUUCCACUGAAGUCCCAGUUCCCUGGGGUUAAAUGCCAAAUGAAAAUGCCCCCUUUCCUCUGAUAUAUGUAUCUAGCUGUCAUGGUUAUGUAGGAGAAGUCUGAAACACAAGUUGUUAUAAAAGCAGAAAAGUCAGAAAACAGCUAUAAAGCUUACAUUUUUUGUGUAGUAUCUUGGAGAACUUGGAAUUUUUUAAGGUGACAGACAAUACUGUGUCCUUGACAGAAAUUUCUGGAGGUGAGUUAGGAGACCAGCACAGCAAAUGAUUAUCUGUGGCUGUUCCUGCUACUGGUGCCUGUGGACUUCAAAGAAAAAAAAAUCAAGGUCUGGAUUCCCAAAAUGGUGCGGAGAGGAUACCCUUCAGAUGGACACAGAGCAAGGUGGAUAUGACAUGGCCUGGGAAGAGCAAGACAGCACUACUGUAACGUAUGUUUUGGGCUCGGGGCUGUGAAAAAAAUGUGAUUCUAGGGAGGCCAUUAUUUACAUUCAUCUCUAAGGUUAUUCUGACAUGUAUUGUGGAUUGCACAUUUCCCUAAGAUAGACAGGUUUGUCAUAUUGGGUGGGUUAGUCAAAUACAUAAAUAAUUGAGCUUGUACAAUUUUAAUUAAAAGUACUAUGAAGCAAUUAGAGUUUGAAACCAUGAAUGCAAAUCUCUAGGUAUAUCUUACAUAUCUCUGAUGCAGGUUAAAAUAAUCACUCAGAGACAGAUUGUGUCAUCAGUCUUCCCACAGGGUAGUUGUUUGUUCUCUAAGUAGUGCCUUCAAAAUAGAGCAAAAUCUGUUCUACAUAGCUAUCAGCAACUGACCAGGUGUCAAGUAAGGACCCUCCAAAAACUGUAGAGAAUGCUUCCUUAUUUUCUCAUGUCUUUUAUCUAUCUCCAGAACAGUAUUUCAGUGGUAGCCAUCCAAGACAUGGCUUUUCUCAUGACUUCAUAGACAAGAUGACUGCAACCAACAACCGUAGGUACAGUGUUAGCCUGGGGAAAUCUGCUCUCAUUCCUAAUGGAAGAGGAACUUUGCCUGAGACAUAAAGAUACUGAAAUAAGAAGCUAAGUCUUAAUGCCUGCAAAAAAUAACAUGCUACUUUUCAUGGGGCAUAACAAUGACAUAUUCAACUGCACUCUUACAGAUUUUUAUUUUUCUGCAAAAGGAGCAGUGCACAUUUCAAAAAUACUGAUAUUUUACAUCAUAAUUUUAGUUUCCCAACAGUGAUAAUGUCUUACAUGAAAUGCAUCUCAGCAAAGCAUAGAGCGGCUUCCUCCACAUGUAGAUUUCUUAUGUUCUGAAACUUAUUCUUCUCUAACUUACAUUGGAGUAACAGAAAUCUACUGAGG
rnacentral:lncRNA from 1 species